AUUAAAACAUAAAGUUUGCAUUAAAGGUCAAAACAGUCACAAGCCUGCUCAAAUUCGGAAAGAGGGGACGGAAAUGGAACCUCUUCAUGGGAGGAAGAAACAGGGUCUUGCUCUGUUGCCCUGGCUGGAGUGCAAUGGUAUGAUCAUAGCUCACAGUAGCCUUGAACUCCUGGGCCCAAGCCAUCCUCCUACCUCAGCAACCAGAGUAGCUGGGAU
rnacentral:lncRNA from 1 species